AGCUCUGCAGCGACAGACAAGACAAAACGUCAGCCCAGAGGAAAGCAAAUGACUGGAGAAGAGGUCAUGUGGAGAAAAGGGAAGAGAAAGACAGAAGAAAUAAAGGGAAGUGGUGGACUGGGAACCAUGAGAUUUGAAAGGGAUUUUUAUGAGAAAACUUAGAAACAUAACACUAUUUGCUUUGCAUUGUGAGGAGGGGUUGCCUCUAAUUGGAAAUGUGAGGUGAACAUUUCUGAAGAAAUUCACUGAAGAAGAACAUUAUUGAAGGGAAUUGAUCAUUAUUCAGCAAAUCAGAUAUUUCACUGCAAAGCGCCAUCAAGGCCAUGCAUUCCUGCGUGCUGCUGGAGUGACCGUUGCUAGCAGGCACUGCAGCUGCUGGCGGGUGGCAGGUGCAAAAUACUUGCAGGUUUUGUGUGUGACACUCAGUGGAGCAGGUCUGUCUCUGUGGCUGCCUUUCCUCCUUUCCAUUAGUGCACAUGUCUUUGGGGACAUCCCAAAGUCCAGCAGACUUCUCCUGAAGGAGCUCAUCUACAAGCUGCAUGCAGAGCCCGUGUGAAGGGAUGGGGCGGACACCGACAUUAAACACCUUGGAACAGCCUAAAUGCAAAUCAAGGAGAAAAGUGAUGAUGCCAUUUCAAUCAAUAAAUGCAAUUGCCAUUUUUGCCUUUUAAGCUUCUGAGGAGCUGCUCAGAAGCCUUUGUGCUACUGACAGCCACUCUUGGUUGUUAGGUAUUUAAACCACAAACCACAUUUGCAGGUUCUCAGAUUCUAGAAUAAAAAUAAGGUUUAUGUUUUUCUCAGCUGCUUUCAGGACACUGUGAGAUGUGUGUCAGUGUCCCCUGUGUUCCUGCAAAAGGCAUGAGCCAGCACAGCACUGGGGUGUCCAUACACAACACAUGCUUCCAUGCUUUAUCACCCCAGGGGCUGAUAAUUUCAAUGCAUGUGUGUGAGAAACUUGUGUCAUGGUUUGUCUGUAAAAGUGCAUUUAAAACAUCAGGCAAUUCAAGUUAAAUGUAGUGUGAUUUAUUUAUUUAUUUGGUAAUAAGACAUAAGUUUUUUUUAGUGUAUUGAGUAUAUUGAGGCUGUUAAAAAUAAUAACAACUAGAUUUAUAAUAUUCUGAAAGUUAUCUUACUGCUUCUGUUCUUACGCAAUAUUUGGAAGUGAAUUAGCAAAAUACUUUGUGCUCUGGGUGGGUGUAACUGGCGCAUUUCAGCAUGUUUAAUUUUUCUGGUAAAGAAUUUUAACUGUAAUAUAGGAGACCUCCUGGAGACUGGCCAUAUCUGUGAGCUUAACUGGCAGUGCUAGCCUAGGUCAUAAGACUCCUCUUGAGUACUUGUUCCCUCUUGUUAAGGAGACACCAAGAGGUCUCUACAAUUUUUGAUCCUUCUGGUUGAAGAAUGAAGCUGGACUGGAUAAGACAGUACAAACCCCACCGGUCUUCUUCAUCUUUGGGUUGCAUCUCUUCCAAUGAGUUGUGUGACCGUCGCAUCACCUAGGCACAUCUUGCACGUCACGGGGAGUGAUCUAAGCGUGACUGGGGAACAGGCUCUUCAGAAGCCGGGCACGUCACGGAUUGCACAAGGCGUGGAAAGCACAACAGUGUCAUCACCACACCUCUAUUUUUUUAAAGGCACUUCCUUCUUCUUUUAGGUUGGGUCCAGUUAUUCACCUGGCCCUGUAUGAGGAAGCAGUGAAUCCUUCUCCUCCUUUAAAGCAUGCAACUAAAUUUUGCUCAGGGAUUUUUCCACCAGAUCAAUAUUUUCUCAGUAAAACAUGACACAUCUUUUUCUUGCA